UACGGGGGGGGCAAGCGUUGUUCGGAAUUACUGGGCGUAAAGAGCUCGUAGGCGGCCAACUAAGUCGGAUGUGAAAUCCCCAGGCUUAACCUGGGAACUGCAUCCGAUACUGGAUGGCUUGAAUUCGGGAGAGGGAUGCAGAAUUCCAGGUGUAGCGGUGAAAUGCGUAGAUAUCUGGAGGAAUACCGGUGGCGAAGGCGGCAUCCUGGACCGACAUUGACGCUGAGGAGCGAAAGCGUGGGGAGCAAACA
rnacentral:rRNA from 1 species